CUGUCUUAAUUAUUUAUGGAUUACUAACAGGAGAACCCACUUUGUUCCAGAAAUUUCAUUGAUAUCAGGAAUAACAAAACAAAACAAAACAAACACAACAAUAUGGAGCCGUAUUCUCCAGAAGCUUACAUCUGAUUUAAGGAGACAGAUCUUACUGAGAGUUUCUAAUAUGUUAGUGUGCUUUGUGAAUCUUCAUGUGUGUGGAGUAGAGAUCCAGUCUGCCAAGUUCUACAAACUCAUCUGAUGACAGAACCCUUUUUCAAUGGAAUAUCUCAAGGGAUUUGUGCUCCAUGGGACAUAACAUGAGAAGGACUGACACAGAUUUUCACCUAGUGAACAAAAAGUGAAAAGAGUUUUGGAAUGCAUUGUUCUCUCACCUCAUUAUCCUCCUUAAUGUAUGAAAGUCUCAAGAUAACUGUUGAUUACCUGCUCUCUACUUCAUAAAGAGGAAACACAGAUCCAGAGGACCAUUUUGUGAUUCAUCCCUUUUCAAAGUGUUUCUUAAAACAUUUAAAAAAAUUUUAUUAUAAGCUGUU